GACGAACCGUGCGAACGUUGUUCGGAAUCACUGGGCUUAAAGGGCGCGUAGGCGGGUGUGCAAGUCUGUGGUGAAAGCCUUCAGCUUAACUGGAGAAGUGCCAUGGAUACUGCACAUCUUGAGGAGGGUAGGGGCAUCUGGAACGGUCGGUGGAGCGGUGAAAUGCGUUGAUAUCGACCGGAACUCCGGUGGCGAAGGCGAGGUGCUGGACCCUUUCUGACGCUGAGGCGCGAAAGCCAGGGGAGCAAACGGG
rnacentral:rRNA from 1 species